rnacentral:rRNA from 1 species
UACGGAGGGUGCAAGCGUUAAUCGGAAUUACUGGGCGUAAAGCGUGCGUAGGCGGUUCGUUAAGUCUGUUGUGAAAGCCCCGGGCUCAACCUGGGAACCGCGCUUGAGACUGGCGGGCUAGAGUUCGGGAGAGGAUGGUGGAAUUCCCAGUGUAGAGGUGAAAUGCGCAGAUAUCAGGAGGAACACCGGUGGCGAAGGCGGGUCUCUGGGCCGUAACUGACGCUGAGGAGCGAAAGCAUGGGGAGCGAACAGG